UGGCGGCGUGCCUAAUACAUGCAAGUCGAACGAGUUCUCGUUGAUGAUCGGUGCUUGCACCGAGAUUCAACAUGGAACGAGUGGCGGACGGGUGAGUAACACGUGGGUAACCUGCCCUUAAGUGGGGGAUAACAUUUGGAAACAGAUGCUAAUACCGCAUAGAUCCAAGAACCGCAUGGUUCUUGGCUGAAAGAUGGCGUAAGCUAUCGCUUUUGGAUGGACCCGCGGCGUAUUAGCUAGUUGGUGAGGUAAUGGCUCACCAAGGCGAUGAUACGUAGCCGAACUGAGAGGUUGAUCGGCCACAUUGGGACUGAGACACGGCCCAAACUCCUACGGGAGGCAGCAGUAGGGAAUCUUCCACAAUGGACGCAAGUCUGAUGGAGCAACGCCGCGUGAGUGAAGAAGGCUUUCGGGUCGUAAAACUCUGUUGUUGGAGAAGAAUGGUCGGCAGAGUAACUGUUGUCGGCGUGACGGUAUCCAACCAGAAAGCCACGGCUAACUACGUGCCAGCAGCCGCGGUAAUACGUAGGUGGCAAGCGUUAUCCGGAUUUAUUGGGCGUAAAGCGAGCGCAGGCGGUUUUUUAAGUCUGAUGUGAAAGCCCUCGGCUUAACCGAGGAAGCGCAUCGGAAACUGGGAAACUUGAGUGCAGAAGAGGACAGUGGAACUCCAUGUGUAGCGGUGAAAUGCGUAGAUAUAUGGAAGAACACCAGUGGCGAAGGCGGCUGUCUGGUCUGUAACUGACGCUGAGGCUCGAAAGCAUGGGUAGCGAACAGGAUUAGAUACCCUGGUAGUCCAUGCCGUAAACGAUGAAUGCUAGGUGUUGGAGGGUUUCCGCCCUUCAGUGCCGCAGCUAACGCAUUAAGCAUUCCGCCUGGGGAGUACGACCGCAAGGUUGAAACUCAAAGGAAUUGACGGGGGCCCGCACAAGCGGUGGAGCAUGUGGUUUAAUUCGAAGCAACGCGAAGAACCUUACCAGGUCUUGACAUCUUUUGAUCACCUGAGAGAUCAGGUUUCCCCUUCGGGGGCAAAAUGACAGGUGGUGCAUGGUUGUCGUCAGCUCGUGUCGUGAGAUGUUGGGUUAAGUCCCGCAACGAGCGCAACCCUUAUGACUAGUUGCCAGCAUUUAGUUGGGCACUCUAGUAAGACUGCCGGUGACAAACCGGAGGAAGGUGGGGAUGACGUCAAAUCAUCAUGCCCCUUAUGACCUGGGCUACACACGUGCUACAAUGGAUGGUACAACGAGUUGCGAGACCGCGAGGUCAAGCUAAUCUCUUAAAGCCAUUCUCAGUUCGGACUGUAGGCUGCAACUCGCCUACACGAAGUCGGAAUCGCUAGUAAUCGCGGAUCAGCACGCCGCGGUGAAUACGUUCCCGGGCCUUGUACACACCGCCCGUCACACCAUGAGAGUUUGUAACACCCGAAGCCGGUGGCGUAACCCUUUUAGGGAGCGAGCC
rnacentral:rRNA from 1 species